rnacentral:rRNA from 1 species
GAUGAACGCUGGCGGCGUGCCUAAUACAUGCAAGUCGAGCGAAUGGAUUAAGAGCUUGCUCUUAUGAAGUUAGCGGCGGACGGGUGAGUAACACGUGGGUAACCUGCCCAUAAGACUGGGAUAACUCCGGGAAACCGGGGCUAAUACCGGAUAACAUUUUGAACCGCAUGGUUCGAAAUUGAAAGGCGGCUUCGGCUGUCACUUAUGGAUGGACCCGCGUCGCAUUAGGUAGUUGGUGAGGUAACGGCUCACCAAGGCAACGAUGCGUAGCCGACCUGAGAGGGUGAUCGGCCACACUGGGACUGAGACACGGCCCAGACUCCUACGGGAGGCAGCAGUAGGGAAUCUUCCGCAAUGGACGAAAGUCUGACGGAGCAACGCCGCGUGAGUGAUGAAGGCUUUCGGGUCGUAAAACUCUGUUGUUAGGGAAGAACAAGUGCUAGUUGAAUAAGCUGGCACCUUGACGGUACCUAACCAGAAAGCCACGGCUAACUACGUGCCAGCCGCCGCCGUAA